UGGCCAUGACUUUAGGAACAGGGCUUUUUUGCCAUUCAAAAGCAGGACAAUUAUGUGUUCAAUCUCAUACUCAAGAUUACAAUGGCUACUCUGGACAAGAGAAACUCAUGGAAGUGCAUGUUGAUGUGUUAAAGCCAGGUCUAUGUGUACUCAUAGUUGACCAGUGAAUUGAGACUGGAGGAAUUAUGAGAGCAGCUAUCAAACUGGCAUUGCUGCUGUGGCCAUUGAGAACAGUGAUGGAGGGAAGUGGCUAAUGGAAAACUAUAAGAAUUCCCACUGCAUUCCAAAUAAGCUGCAGACAAUCAGUACCUGGAAUCUUUUAAGAACUUCAG